rnacentral:rRNA from 1 species
UUGACGGAGAGUUUGAUCCUGGCUCAGGACGAACGCUGGCGGCGUGCUUAAUACAUGCAAGUCGAACGAUCCCGGGACUUCGGUCCCAAUGGGAGAGUGGCGAACGGGUGCGUAACACGUGAGAAACCUGUCCCGGAGAUGGGAAUAGCCCAGGGAAACCUGGAUUAAUACCCAAUACCCUGAGAGCGUCGCAUGGCGCACUUAGGAAAGGUUCCGGCGCUCCGGGAGGGUCUCGCGGCCUAUCAGCUAGUUGGUGAGGUAAAGGCUCACCAAGGCAUCGACGGGUAGCUGGUCUGAGAGGACGAUCAGCCACACUGGGACUGAGACACGGCCCAGACUCCUACGGGAGGCAGC